AACAUGGGUUUUUAUGGACUGAUCAGGAAGUGGCACACUGAAUCCCCGGCACCAAGUCUGUGAGCCUUAGAUCGAUGGACUUGGAGCUGGGCGGGAUUCAGAGUGGCCACGAAGAUUAAGUUUCUGUUUUCUUUAAAAUAAGUUUCGCAUUUAUUAUUUUGAUCAUUUUUAUUCUGGUUUAAGUUGUAAUAAGGCCGCUCUUUUUAUUAUUUUUAAUAUUUUGGGUUAUUAAAUUGGUUAGCUCUAAAGCGCGUUUUAUAAAA